UCAUCCAACAUAUUUAUUUUUAUCAAUAUUUAGGGUUCAGGAAAAUAAUAAUACUACAGACUAAGGUUAUAAACAGUAGACAUGAACUGGAAAUCUAGACUAGACAAUUGGCCAGUCGCUCCGCACUCCACUGGGAUUCUCGAGUUCUCAUCUGAUGUUUGCCUCCAAAUCCCGACGUUGUUUGAUUAGUUUUCUCUCAGAUUCCUUCAGCAUGUUGAACAUUAAAAAGACAUUUUCAGUCUGUUCUGAUGGAGCGUGAAUUUUCCGGGUUACAUAUCAUUAUUCAAAUUUACAUCGUUGAUGGCUUUCCGCAUUCUGGCAUUUUCCUCCAUAAUCGCGUCUUGUGUUGAAUGUUGAUUAGUAGCGGAGGAGCAAGGACCGAUAACAGGAUCAGAAAGUACCGACAAGACCGGUUUUCCCAUUGAAUGUCUCUCGUGCGCUUGUUUCGUCGUAGACUGGUUAUUGCCGAUGUUGUCCAGGGACUUGGCGUACGGCUCGGGGCUCGACUUACUUUGUUUCGCUAAAUUUGGAAGCGGUUGAGAAAGUAGUUCGAUAGACUUGAUUUCACCGCAUUCCUCGUCGUUCUUACUUAAGUGGCGAUCCCUAGCAAUUAAAAUCAUUUUAGCAUUUCUAAUACGAAAAUUCCAUCGUCCAUAGUUUAUUUUAUAGAGGAUUUAAUUCAAUCCAACCAAUUUUUAAAUUACUGACCUAAAUACAUUCUCAAAUUGUUUUUUAAACAGAUUCCUGUGAGUUUUGUUACGAGAAUUUUAUCCAUCAAAAAGCUGUUGAAUUGAGGAUUAGUUAACGUUAACAACCUGUUGGAAAACUUCAGAGCAUCCAGGAUUUGGCCUACUGAAAAAUCGGUGAAAUUCGAUAAAACGAAAACUACUGAAGGAUAAGCGCUUUGCACAUGUGCUGGUCGCCAGUUUACAUUUUCGUUACGUCCUCCUCCGUAUUUGGGCAUGGAGUUGUGCGUGACGUCUGUCACGCGAUUUUAACUUCCCUUAUUGGGAUCAGUCGAUUUCCAUAAAACAGCGGCCCCUGGAUUACUCAGUGAUGACAGCAGGUAGCUACAAAUAAAUGGUUGCACAACAACUGACUGUAGCUUGUCCACAGAAAUUGAAAGAAGUCAAAACAUGUCGUGUCAAUGUAAAUAGUAUUGAAAUCAGACGAAUAUGGUAAGCGAGUUCGUGCUCAGUGCCAUUAAGUGCAAUUUACAGGUAGCUGAAGGUUUUAAAUUCCAAGGACUCUUUAUUUAUAUGCGAAAAUUGUAGUCACUUGCAUAAAUUGAAAAAUUCUAUCUUCUCCUUAGAUAUUGAUAACGAAUAAUUUGCAUAUUUAUAGUGUAACAUGGCUCCAGUACAGAACAUUAUGUGAGAUUACGUCUCUAUCUUUAUAUUGAUGUAAAUAUCUAAAAUACUCAUUUAAAGAAUUUGUUAUUUUGGUGACUUCUUUUUGUGUCCAACCUGCCUAUUUAACCUGAAUAAUGCAUGCACGAAGAUUAGAGAGUAAUUUUACAAUGAAAUUUGUACUAUGAAAAAUGUUUUUGAAGGAAAUAAAUAGAAAAUCUUUCCAUCUAUCUUCUCAUCCGGUUAUGAUGCUUUGUUCGAAUUCAAACGUUUUUAAAUAGCUGCCGCUAGGGGGAUUCAGAGUUUCCGGUGGCCAUUUUUGCCUAAGGCGAGUUGGUAGAGAAGCUUCUAGAUCAAGCUUGGCUUGGGUAGUCGUCCAUGAUGCUUUCGAUUAACCGGUCGUACGAAACAAUUCUGCUAGAAAUUCUACCCUUAAAUGUUGGGAAAUUGCUUUCACAUUCAAACGAGAACAUCCAGGAAAAGAAAAUGAAGACCAGGACAAUUGUUAAGAGAGGUUGCAGCAUCGACGAUAAACGUUGAUGCACUUUGUUCACCCAACGCCAACAGUGAGGCUUUGAUAUCCUGGGGAUGUAAAGGAGAUUGGUUAAAUUUAUGAGUGAAAUGUAUGAAUCCUCUAAAAUUUGCCUCAACCUCCUAAACAUUCACAGGCCAAACCAGCAAAUCUACAUUUUUGGGUAAUGUUGAAAUGUAAGAAAGAGCUUCUUAAGUUAACGUCCACUGAUAUAAAUGUAACACAUUAAGAGAAAUCAAACUAUAGUUCACAUGCAAAGACUUAGCACCAAUUUGUAACUAUCGUAUAAUUGCAGUUACAUAUUUCUGUUAGGUUCUUGCGGAUAAGACUUGGCAUCACAUCAUUAGAUUGCAUUUCAUCAAAAUCAUGUUUGUGUUCCUUGCGAGUUGUUAAAGUAAUGUAAAGUUUGUUUUGAUAACUUAAUUAUUUCUCAAUUAAAAAAAAACACUUUUCUACUUAACAAGGGAGGGUAUCUGGAUUUACACGAGUUUUGUACAAAAAUGGGAAAGGUGUGUUAAUCUUGAUUUACAUUAUGGCAUCUGAGACUGAACAUUUUUUUCUUCAAGUCUAAUUUUUAACAACUUACGAUAACGGAAUUUGACGGUGGAUGUCAUCUCGAUUUUGGCAAAAGAAAACACGAAACAAUUAAAUGCGCCUUGCCUGUAUAAUUUAAGUUUCCAGAGUGCAGGGUCCUAAGCAGUUAGGAAAUUUGUUACCAGACCCAAGGAAAAUGUUCUCAGGCAGUGAACCUUUGACCUGCAGCAGUGAACCUUGAUAUUAAUUUACUGGAUUCCCGACAGCAGGGUUCCAUGUCUAUUGGAAAAUUUGUUGCUUGACCUAAAGAAAAUGUUCCCAGAUGCAGUGAGCCUGUGGCCAAGAUGUAUUCAACACUUUUCUGGCAGACUAAAUUUUGGUUUAUGGAGCAAAAUAAUUUCCACUUCAAAUAUGAUGUAGUCUGCUUCAUCUAUUGUCAAACUAGUUACCCGUGAAGACUGUUACAUCAGAGUUUUUACGUAAUUUUCUUUUCAAAUUUCUUGACCGUAAUAUGAGA